GGCACCGUGGCCUAAUGGUAAGGCGUUGCUUUCCGGUAACAGGAACUGGCAAAGAUCGUGGGUUCGAGUCCCAUCGGUGUCG